GAUGAACGCUGGCGGCGUGCUUAACACAUGCAAGUCGAGCGAGAAAUUUCAGGUGGAUUCUUCGGAAGAAAGCUGAGAUGGAAAGCGGCGGACGGGUGAGUAACGCGUGGGUAACCUACCCCAUACAAAGGGAUAGCCACUGGAAACGGUGAUUAAUACCAUAUAAAACUCUAAUGCCGCAUGGCAAAUGAGUCAAAAUGUUAGUGGUAUGGGAUGGACCCGCGUCUGAUUAGCUAGUUGGUAAGGUAAAGGCUUACCAAGGCGACGAUCAGUAGCCGGCCUGAGAGGGUGAACGGCCACACUGGAACUGAGACACGGUCCAG
rnacentral:rRNA from 1 species